UCAAUACGGUACCCUGCACACG
rnacentral:misc_RNA from 1 species